CCUCAUUUGUGUUGAUCUGUUUCCAAAUGUGGUGAUCUAGUGAAGCUUGUUUGCUUGGCACAUUCAUAUACACCGAAUUGUCUAGGGUUUUAGGGCAUCUGUGAAUGUCUACCUACCGGAUGGAGUUACUCAUGCCUGGGGUUGGGGGCCAAAUUUUGGAGGCUUUUCUCCUCCAAGCUUCCUUUUAGACCAAAGUUUGACUCCACGAGAUCAUUCUAAUAAUAUGUUAUGUCAUGUAGUUUUGAGCAGCAAAACAUUCCCAUUUUAUUCCAAGAUGGAGUUGUAGGCUUUGAAGCCUGGUUUGUAAGAAGGUUCUUUGCCAGGUGAAUGGCUGAUUUUGAAAAUCCAGAAUUUCUGGCUAAUAGAGAAUAAUCAGGGUUAAAUACUUAUAUCCAGAACUUUUGUAGGCUCAACUGGCUGCUGCAUAUAUCCUUGUAAGGAGUGAUUUGGUUUAUACAUGAGCAGACACGUGAUUUAUAAGUAAUUAUGCUAUUUUCUAUGAUGACCAAAAUACCCCUUACAAGGUGGUAUCUAGCAUCCUCCAUGUCGUUAUUGGGUCUGUAGAGGCCUCUAUGUUGAUGCGUAUCAAACAAGAGAAAGAAAAAUGGGUGUCUUUUUGGUUUUUGCCACAUGGGUUGAAGAUUUUUAGGAUGAAUUUGACCACAGGGAAGGAGGCUAGGUGGCAAAAAUGGGAGUUGUUUUGCCACAUGGUGAGAGUUUUUUAGGAUGAAUUCGACCACAUGGAAGAAGUAUUGAUGGUAAUAAUGUGGAUCACUUUUGAGCGACCGACAUGUCCCUGUAAAACUUAAGGGAAAAUUCUGUAGGAUAUAUGUACACUCGGCUAUGAUAUGGGGCCGAAUGUGGGGUAGUUAAGAAACAACAUAUUGAUAAGUUAUUUGUCGCGGAGAUGAGAAUGUUAAGAUGGGUGUGCGGGAAAACUGUGAAGGAUAAGGUAAAGAGUGAAAGCAUUAGAGCGGAUUCUGGACUCGCCUUAAUCCAUGAUAAAAUUUCGGAAAGUCGUUUGAGAUGGUAUGGCCGUGUUCAAUAGAGGACAUCAGAUGCACCAGUAAGGUGAAGUGAUCUGAUCCAAAUAGAAGGAUGUUCAACCUGCCAAUGAUUACAAAAUUUAGAUGGUCGAUGAUGAAUGAGCCACCAACGUGGGAACAUAGAAAAUCAAUUUAAUGCAGUGUGUGCAUGGUAAACGAUGAUACUACACAUGAUGCAGUAACACUUGUGUUGGCUUGAACCAGAUUGGAGGCCCAGUUAUAGAACUGGGUCCAAGUUUGGGUUUUGGGACCAGUAGAACAUUUAGGCUUUAAUUUGGGAAUAAUAGUGUAAUCUUUUUAUUUUGGGGGAGAUAGCUAUGUAGUUGUUUCAAGCUUUCCUAUAUUUUGUUUUAAUUCCUAGAUUGAAUUAGUUUCCAUUUUUGAUGAAGUCUUUCUUAUUAAUAUAGAUAUAAUAAACACAAUUUGUAGUUGAUUGAAUAUGGAAUAUUGAGUGUCGUUGAGUGUGCCUGUGUUUCUGUGCCUCCCCUCUUAUCUCUUCCCUGCGUUUCAGAACUUCCUAUCGCCAGGUUGUUCUUCAUCCCAACUUCUUUCCUUGUUUCUCCUUCGUCUUUGCUUUUAAUAUUUUUUUAGUAUUGCUACCCUGUCCUGGCAUGACCUUGGGUCCAGCAAAGAGUGCAUCAAUCUCUCUCGAUUCUUCACUAAUGAGAUUCAAAACCCUGGGGUUUGAAUCAUACCCUCAAGGUGGUCCUACAUGGAAUUACCUGCUGGAUAUCAAACUAGAAUCAAGAUUUAUACACUGAAACUCUCGCCUGGAAUAGUUUCAGGAGUAUCUUUUAUUUAUUUAUACUUUCAGAUAUCUGAUUGAUCUGCCUGUUAGUUGAGUUUGAGAAAGUUUUGUGUUACCUACCUAACUCCAAAGUUCCCAAUUGAUUGGGUUGCAGUGCUUGAGUUCCAUUGAUCACACUUGAGAAGGGUUGCCGCUGGUUCUUUCUCUACCAUUUAACCCCACUCGCAGAAACUUUUUUCUGCUCUCAUCUCCAACCUCUGGUCCUCUUAUUGGCUGAAAUCAAUGGAUCUUAGGGUUAGCUAUCAAUCCUUAAACCUUCAACUUGUUUGGAGUUGUGUGUGAAGAGGAGUAUUCAUCGCAAGCUGAUGCAGUUCAAGGAAGCAGACUACUGUUCACGUGUUACUGUUCACAUGAUACUAUUCAUGUGGUACUGGUCACAUGAACAGUGAUACUGUUCAUAAAUGGCCAUCAUUGUAUGCUUCAGUUUUAGGAAUAUGGACAGCUGGCAUUCUUAAGAGAUGCUGCCAAAAUUCUCUAGGAUAUUAUAUCUUAGUUUCUAUUUUCAGUGGUUACUAUUUUCUUGUAUUGCUAUUGAAUAAUUAGCUAGAGUUUCUAUUUUGAUGUUAGUUACUAUUUUUUAGUUAGCUUGGCAGCAAAGUAUUGUCCCCUCGUUAUUGGGAAUUGUUAAUUUUGUAAUGAUGAUUUGAAGAUUAUAAAUAAAGAGGAUGGACUCCUUCUGCCCACUAUUUUGGUUGAGGCAAAUGCUUUUUGAGUAUGGUGAGCUGUGGUGAAUCAGCCACGUCCAUUGGUGGUGAAACCAUGGGGGGAGGGUAGUGAUGCCCAACCACAAGCGUAGGUGGUGAUACCUACGGUCAUAUCCCUUUUCUCUUUUUCCAUUAAAGCAUCUGUCGAUCUUUGAUGGGACCCUUGGAGGUGAUCUCAUAUUCUGCCAGUGGUUUAAACUUGCUUUUAUUCUGUUAUUACUGUGGUCACAAUCCCCUUUGUUAACCCUUUCUAAUCUGUCAGAUUUACUCUUAGUUUUAGCACCCUACGAUUUCUAGCGAAGGCCAUAUUCUGUCUCAGAUUUCAGUCCUGUUUUCUAGAUAUCCAACCGUCAGAUGAGCCUCCUGUUUUGAGGGCUUAUUAUUCCAUAUAGCACUUUCCUUCAACCUAACUUUGAGUCCCAUCAAUUUUUGGAUAUGGAGUUAUUCAUCUAUGUUCUGUCUCUUACUUUCUAAUUCUGUUCUAAUGAGUUUUCUGCAGAUCAGUCCGUUGAAUCAGCCCCAUCUGUGGAGCAUAUAACCAGGAGGAUUCUCACUCCAUUUUACCUGGUUUCAAGCCACACCUGAGUGCCGGUUAUCAAGUUAUUAGAAUUUGUAUAUUAUGUUCUGUUUACGCUACUGUUCUGGUCACUGUGAUUCUGUCCUGUGGUUUUGUUGUCGAUUAAUCUGUCCUACAGGUUAGCGUACUCCAUCACAAGCCUGCCUCCACUGCUGGUUCAGAAUUGGGAGAUGAAGGGCAAAGGGACUAUUUCAUCUUGCAGUCCAUGGUUGAGAUGUUAUCAAAGCCCAAUGAGAUCAUCAUCAGUCUGAGGAUGAUUCCCUUGUCCAAUUCUCCAUUUUACAAUAUUGUGAUGGUGCUUAUUGUGAGGUGUUUGAUUCUUCCAAGUGCAUUAUCAAAGCUGGUCACCAAUGGUUAGAAGCACGAAAGUGUGUAGUUGAUCGUGAUAGCAACAUGUGCUUCCUAAAGCCUAUACAUCUACAUCAUACAUUUAUUUUAAAAGGGCUGGUUGAUCAAGUAUGCUCGGAGCCCUAGGAUGUGGCACCAACAAUGCAACCAUAGGAAGAGCCGGAGGGCUCAACCCAAGAGGAAGACUGCUUUGAUGUGGGACAAUAAUUAAUGGUAAAGGGCGACAAGAUGGUUAUUGUGGGUGAGGCGAUAAUAAACUUUACUGCAACAACAGGUGUUCAUAUUGAGUUUGUUAUUACCCACAUAUUUUAAGACGGAUGCAACAUCGAAGCUCCAUAUUUUGGAUUCAGUUCAAGUUGCAAGCAAGGAGUAGCAAGCUCCCGUUAGAGUGUCUUUAUUUCUGCCAUUCCACAAAACUUGAGGAACAAUUUUUCUCAACACUGGGGGAAUUUAUGCAGUGAUGCUUGCGUGGGCCAGCUCAAAACCUAUUGGAGGCCAAACAAAGAACUGGGUCGAAGUUGGGUUUUGGGUCCAGUAGAAUAUGUAGGCUUUAAUUUAGGAAUUAUAUUGUAAUAUUUCUAUCUUUUGGAAGAAAGCUAUGUAGUUGUUUUUGGUUUCCUAUUUUAUUACUACCUAGAUUGAGUUAGUUUCCAUUUUUUGUUGAAGUCUUUCUUCUUUAUAUAGAUGUAACCAAUGCAAUUAAUAGUUGAUUGAAUAUGGAAUA